rnacentral:rRNA from 1 species
GACGAACGCUGGCGGCAUGCCUAAUACAUGCAAGUCGAGCGAACAGAUGAAGUGCUUGCACUUCUGACGUUAGCGGCGAACGGGUGAGUAACACGUAAGGAAUCUACCUAUAAGCGGGGGAUAACAUUCGGAAACGGGUGCUAAUACCGCAUAAUAUCUUCUUCCGCAUGGAAGAAGUUUGAAAGACGGCUCUGCUGUCACUUAUGGUUAACCUUGGGUUGCAUUAGUUAGUUGGUGGGGUAAUGGCCUACAAAGACGAUGAUGCAUAGCCGACCUGAGAGGGUGAUCGGCCACAGUGGGACUGAGACACGGCCCAAACUCCUACGGGAGGCAGCAGUAGGGAAUCUUCCGCAAUGGGCGAAAGCCUGACGGAGCAAUGCCGCGUGAGUGAAGAAGGCCUUCGGGUCGUAAAACUCUGUUAUAAGAGAAGAACAAAUUGUAGAGUAACUGCUACAGUCUUGACGGUAUCUUAUCAGAAAGCCACGGCUAACUACGUGCCAGCAGCCGCCGUAA